AGGCACCACAGCGGCACGAAGACGCAGGCCGAGCACGGUCCCCCCCCUCCUACACACACGCGCACGCGCACGCGUAUGCUGCCGGUGUUUCCGUUUCUGUUUUCGUGCUAUCGCUUGAUUUGACGUUCGCAUGUUUCCUUCGAUUUCUCUCGUUUUCGUCUCUCUCCCUAUGCAGAGUCGCAUGGACGUGUGCGUGUGCGUGCCCCUCUGCCGUUUUCCCGUUGUGUCUCCGUGCCGCUGCCCUGCUCCUCGUCUUCCCCGCCCCCUCCAUGCGCGUGUGCGUGUGCGGGCGAGGCGGCUGAUCGAGGGGACGACGAGGUGGAGAGCAGCCACGGCACCGCAGCGCUGGGGAUACAUGGGCAGUGUGCAGGAGCAGCGGAGGAGAGGCACGCACACGCACUCUGGCAAGGGAGUAGUGGUGCGGAGGCCGCAGGGGAAUACGCAGCGGAGCGAGUGGGUACGGAGGCGGAGCGGAGGAGAGGCAGCGCUGCUUCUCUGUUCGCCCCGCUUGCGUUGGACUCGAGUGUGUCUGCGUGUGCGCCCCCUGCGGCCCUGGGCCCCCUCGCCUCUCUUGCGCGCUUCGCGUCGCUUGUUUCGUUGCUGUGGCUGUCUAACUACGCCAUCGAGUCGGCCAGAGUCGCGUGCGCGGAGUAUUCACACCAUAUUACGGCAUGCGGCAUGCACCUACACCAGCCCCUGCGGCCUGCACGGCAGACGCCGCCGCCUCCGCCCUCGAGCAGGACCCUGCACCGGGGUCCGUGUGGCGCCGGUCGCGCUGCACGCGUGCGAGGGCGAUACGCGGAGGGACAAGGCGAGCCCGCUAGCAGCAUGGGCCGACUCGACGGCUGAACGGCUCGUCGUGGACGGCGCGGAUGUGGCCGCCGUGCGGCAGGGGUGGGUGGGCUGCGGCUGUAUGCGUGCACGUGUGGACUCGGUCGUGAUGGAGUGAGACGUUGAUAAGGAAGUGCUCUGCUUUCCCUGGCAAGCACGCGAAGGAGGAGGUAACCACGGCAACCACAAAACGACACGUAUAUACAUACAUACAUACAUAUAUAUCAUCAUCCAUGUCGGCGUGCGCCAACAGACCAUCAAAACUCCCCGGACUUUGUUUUCCCCGCCGACCGCCGCCCCCGUGUGCUCGCCCGAGCGGACGGAGCGCGUGCGCCCUUUUCUCCUCGUGCUUCUCCGUUGCUUGCUUUUUGCUUGCUGUCUUUUGUUGUUGUCUCCGUUCCUCGACUG
rnacentral:misc_RNA from 1 species